GUGGUGACUGGGCUGAGUCAACCAGGUUCUCCCUCAGGAAUGUGAACUAAGACACACUGAAAGAAUGGAGCAGAUAACAGAAAUCUGAAGCUGAGGGAACGUUCUGGGGCAGAGGAGCAACCAUGAUGCCCCAUUCUCAGGGAAAAGUUAUGAGGCAGGAGGAAUUGGAAAAAAACAACAGAGACCCAGAAUAAAGCCCAGAGAGCAGAGAAUUGGGAAAAAAAAUGAGCUAGCUGGAAGAGAGAUACAGACACACCAAAGAGGAGAAAAAAAAGAACAGAAUAGUGAUGAGUGGCCUGUUCAGACAGAAGGCAGAUUCACCACUAAGUUCUUUUCUGUUAAUCAGUCUGCAAGACGCUUCUUAAGAUGGUCGCACUGUGAAGCCGGCUAUUUCAAAGCUAUAUUUCUUUGAAGUUCUGGAGUCUCUAGCCAUAUGUCCACUUGCCUGCCAGGUGCACUGGCCAUAACCACAGCACAUUCCUGAAGGUCACUACAAGGCUGGAAAAUUGUGGGUCAGCUUCCCAGAGGCACAAUCUCCCAGACAAGCUGAGGCUUUAGGCCCGCCUGCAGUCUAUUCCUGGCUCCACCAUCGGAGAGAUUGGAUGGAAGACCAGAGGCUGGGGGAGGAAGACGGGCCUGCUACUGUUCCUGUCUGCACUGCCCCGGGAAAAGCCUACAUCCUGGCACCAGCAGGUCAGUUCUGGUGACCUCAACCUCUCCCCUUCGUCUCCCAGCUCUAGAAGUCCCAGAUGCUUCCUGCAGUGACCAUCUUUAUGUGAAUCCUGUGUUACAUCAGUGUUCCCUUUUUGCUUUUCUGUGCUUCAACAGCUAUUUCAUCAAUUCC
rnacentral:lncRNA from 1 species